AGUGGGUGUAACGUACCUACUAGCCUACGACGGGUACGGGUUGUGAGAGCAAGAGCCCGGAGAUGGAUUCUGAGACCCGAAUCCAGGCCCUACGGGGUGCAGCAGGCGCGAAAACUUUACAAUGCGGGAAACCGUGAUAAGGGAAUCUCGAGUGCCAGCAUAUAAUGUUGGCUGUCCAGAUGCCUAAAAAGCAUCUGUUAGCAAGGGCCGGGCAAGACCGGUGCCAGCCGCCGCGGUAACACCGGCGGCCCGAGUGGUAACCGUUAUUAUUGGGUCUAAAGGGUCUGUAGCCGGCCAUGUAAGUCCCUUGGGAAAUCUGGCAGCUCAACUGUCAGGCUGCUAGGGGAUACUGCUUGGCUUGGGACCGGGAGAGGUGAGAGGUACCUUGAGGGUAGGGGUGAAAUCUUGUGAUCCUCGGGGGACCACCAGUGGCGAAGGCGUCUCACCAGAACGGAUCCGACGGUAAGGGACGAAAGCUAGGGGCACGAACCGGAUUAGAU
rnacentral:rRNA from 1 species